rnacentral:tRNA from 1 species
AUUUAAGUAGUUUAAUUAAAAUUUUGAAUUGUGGUUUCAAAGAUAUUUUUUAAUCUUAAAUU